rnacentral:rRNA from 1 species
UACGGGGGGGGCAAGCGUUGUUCGGAAUUACUGGGCGUAAAGGGCUCGUAGGCGGCCAACUAAGUCGGACGUGAAAUCCCUCGGCUUAACCGGGGAACUGCGUCCGAUACUGGAUGGCUUGAGUGUGGGAGAGGGAUGCGGAAUUCCAGGUGUAGCGGUGAAAUGCGUAGAUAUCUGGAGGAACACCGGUGGCGAAGGCGGCAUCCUGGACUACUACUGACGCUGAGGGAGCGAAAGCCAGGGGAGCAAACGGG